rnacentral:rRNA from 1 species
CCUCAAGUGGUCAGGAGGAAUAUUGGGCCUAAAGCAUCCGUAGCCGGCUUUGUUAGUUUUCGGUUAAAUCUAUGUGCUCAACGCAUAGGCUGCCGAAAAUACUGCAGAGCUAGGGAGUGGGAGAGGUAGACGGUACUCAGUAGGAAGGGGUAAAAUCCUUUGAUCUAUUGAUGACCACCUGUGGCGAAGGCGGUCUACCAGAACACGUUCGACGGUGAGGGAUGAAAGCUGGGGGAGCAAACCGGAUUAGAUACCCGGGUAGUCCCAGCUGUAAACGAUGCAGACUCGGUGAUGCAUUGGCAUAUAGCCAGUGCAGUGUCGCAGGGAAGCCGUUAAGUCUGCCGCCUGGGAAGUACGUACGCAAGUAUGAAACUUAAAGGAAUUGGCGGGGGAGCACCACAAGGGGUGAAGCCUGCGGUUCAAUUGGAGUCAACGCCAGAAAUCUUACCCGGAGAGACAGCAGAAUGAAGGUCAAGCUGAAGACUUUACCAGACAAGCUGAGAGGUGGUGCAUGGCCGUCGCCAGCUCGUGCUGUGAGAUGUCCUGUUAAGUCAGGUAACGAGCGAGAUCCCUGCCACUAGUUGCUAUCAUUAUUCUCAGGAAUAGUGGGGCGAAUUAGUGGGACUGCCGUUGUUAAAACGGAGGAAGGAAGGGGCUACGGCAGGUCAGUAUGCCCCGAAACUCUGGGGCCACACGCGGGCUGCAAUGGUAGUGACAAUGAGUUCCAAACUCGAAAGAGAGUGGCAAUCUCUAAACACUACCACAGUUAUGACUGAGGGCUGCAACUCGCCCUCACGAAUAUGGAAUCCCUAGUAACCGCGUGUCAUUACCGCGCGGUGAAUACGUCCCUGCUCCUUGCACACACCGCCCGUCGUUUCAUCGAAGUUUGCUUUUAGCGAGGUGAUGUUUAAUUGGCAUAUCGAAC